GAUGAACGCUGGCGGCGUGCCUAAUACAUGCAAGUCGAGCGAACAGACGAGGAGCUUUCUCCUCUGACGUUAGCGGCGGACGGGUGAGUAACACGUGGAUAACCUACCUAUAAGACUGGGAUAACUUCGGGAAACCGGAUCUAAUACCGGAUAAUAUAUUGAACCGCAUGGUUCAAUAGUGAAAGACGGUUUUGCUGUCACUUAUAGAUGGAUCCGCGCCGCAUUAGCUAGUUGGUAAGGUAACGGCUUACCAAGGCAACGAUGCGUAGCCGACCUGAGAGGGUGAUCGGCCACACUGGAACUGAGACACGGUCCAGACUCCUACGGGAGGCAGCAGUAGGGAAUCUUCCGCAAUGGGCGAAAGCUUGACGGAGCAACGCCGCGUGAGUGAUGAAGGUCUUCGGAUCGUAAAACUCUGUUAUUAGGGAAGAACAAAUGUGUAAGUAACUAUGCACGUCUUGACGGUACCUAAUCAGAAAGCCACGGCUAACUACGUG
rnacentral:rRNA from 1 species